AUUGAACGCUGGCGGCAGGCCUAACACAUGCAGGUCGAACGGUAACAGGAAGAAGCUUGCUUCUUUGCUGACGAGUGGCGGACGGGUGAGUAAUGUCUGGGAAACUGCCUGAUGGAGGGGGAUAACUACUGGAAACGGUAGCUAAUACCGCAUAACGUCGCAAGACCAAAGAGGGGGACCUUCGGGCCUCUUGCCAUCGGAUGUGCCCAGAUGGGAUUAGCUAGUAGGUGGGGUAACGGCUCACCUAGGCGACGAUCCCUAGCUGGUCUGAGAGGAUGACCAGCCACACUGGAACUGAGACACGGUCCAGACUCCUACGGGAGGCAGCAGUGGGGAAUAUUGCACAAUGGGCGCAAGCCUGAUGCAGCCAUGCCGCGUGUAUGAAGAAGGCCUUCGGGUUGUAAAGUACUUUCAGCGGGGAGGAAGGGAGUAAAGUUAAUACCUUUGCUCAUUGACGUUACCCGCAGAAGAAGCACCGGCUAACUCCGU
rnacentral:rRNA from 1 species